CCUACGGGAGGCUGCAGUGGGGGAUAUUGCACAAUGGGGGAAACCCUGAUGCAGCGACGCCGCGUGGGCGAAGAAGUAUUUCGGUAUGUAAAGCCCGAUCAGCAGGGAAGAAGAAAGGACGGUACCGGAGUAAGAAGCACCGGCUAAAGACGUGCCAGCAGCCGCGGUAAUACGUAUGGUGCAAGCGUUAUCCGGAUUUACUGGGGGUAAAGGGAGCGCAGGCGGCACGGCAAGCCUGAUGUGAAAGCCCGCGGCCCAACCGCGGGACGGCAUUGGGAACUACCGGGCUGGAGUGCCGGAGUGGUAGGCGGAAUUCCUAGUGUCGCGGUGAACUGCGUCGUUAUUCGGCG
rnacentral:rRNA from 1 species